rnacentral:rRNA from 1 species
CUUGUACUUUAAUUGAUGUUUAUUACAAAUUUUUUUUUAGGACUUUAAAAAUUAUAAGGUGGAAUUAGAAUUUUUUUGUGUAAUAUUGUUUGUAAUUUUAAAUUUUGAUUGAGCGAACUAGAAUAGAACCUAGUUAGACAAAUAUUAAAAGAGCAGAAGUAAAGUUGUAUUUAAACUGAAAGGAUAUUGGCAGGUGAUCUAAAUUAUCUUUGGAGGCUGAGUAGUAAUUGAGAACCCCCAUUAGCUACUUUGUUUGUUUUCGCAUGUAUGAUCGUUUAUUUAAAUCUUAAAGGUAGUAAUUAAAGAUUAAAUUUUCUAUAAAAACAGAUAAAUACCUGGUAUAUGAUUAAAGUAAGAUUUGGCCUACAUUAUUUUAUAAUGUGGAUAAUAUUUUUGGCAAGAUAUUUGAAAAUGUAAAAGACAGUAAAAAAUUUUUAAUGUAUUUUUGAAGAUUAUCUAGAGAC